rnacentral:rRNA from 1 species
UACGUAGGGUCCGAGCGUUGUCCGGAAUUAUUGGGCGUAAAGAGCUCGUAGGCGGUCUGUCACGUCGGCUGUGAAAACCCGGGGCUCAACCCCGGGCCUGCAGUCGAUACGGGCAGACUAGAGUUCGGUAGGGGAGACUGGAAUUUACGGUGUAGCGGUGAAAUGCGUAGAUAUCGUAAGGAAGACCAGUGGCGAAGGCGGGUCUCUGGACAGUUCCUGACGCUGUGGCACGAAGGUCAGGGGAGCAAACGGG